GUUCUAAGUGCUUUAUUCAUCUGAUUUAAACCUCACGACAACUCUAGGGUCGUUCCCAUGUUACAGCAGAAAACCAAGGCACCAAAAGUAUAAAUAACUGCCCAAGGUCCCAUGUCUAGUUUCCUAGCAUCUGGGGAUCUAGGACGGAGUGCUGGUAACCUGGCUCUCAGGCCCUGUGCCUUAUGCGUCGUUUCAGGAAGGAAGGGCCUUUUCACAUGUAGAAUGAAGGCAGGCCUCGCUCUUAGAGAACUGGGGGACCAGCAUCUGGCAAGUGUUUCUCUAGGCAUGAGUCCCCCUGGCUUUGAGGAAAUCUUCACAAACCUAGUGCAGGACCUGCUUUCCAGGCAGAGGCUUUGCUGUAGGCUGGCAGUGAGCUUGUCUUCCAUCUGCUUGGCCAGCCUGGGUGGAACAUUGCUCCUUACUGGGCCCCCAGGGUCCACUGGGCCAGAAGAAGGGAGGUUUGCCUUAAUCCUCGUGCUGUCUCACCUUGCCCAAUAGGGGUGGUUGGCUGAGGGAGGGAAGGGGGAAGUGUUCGAAAGAGGUGGGGGACAAUUAGCAUCAGGUUAGGUCCCUGCCCCCCGCACUGGGAUUCCUCACAGUGACAAUCAGGAAGGGAGCUCAGAAAGCCUCCAGAUCCCACUCAGAUGCUGAGAUCAAAUCCCAAAGCAGGUAUUUAUCACUUGCUUUGACUUGGGAUCACCUAGAAAACGGUUCCAACUGUUCUUCCACAAGAUGACAGACCCUGGUGUUGACAAUGGGGAGGGAAGAUGUCAGAGGGGGUUUGAGCGAGUGGCCUUUCCUCUGGGCCCGUGGGAUGCAGAGGCUCGUCCAUCCGUGGGAUGAGCCUUCUGAGCUCAUGGCAGAGAUGGGAGAGGAGAGAGAGCGGCCGCUGGCAUGUCAGAAGCGGGGCCCUGGCUGAGGAUAGGGGAGCCUGUGUCCAGAUUAUCUUUGUCCAGGCUGUUCCCCCACCCACCCCUGACCCCAAACCAAGACAGAUUUGAGGAAAGAGCAGCCCUGACCAUGAGCUCUGUGCGAUGCACCAGUUGCUUCUGAGGGCUGAUGGGCCUGCAGUGAUGGUUGUAUUUUGGUGAAGAAACCCCAACUCUGAGGCUCUCAGUCUCGUUAUCUGCUGCUCCUCCUUUUUCUUCUCUGAGGGGUGCGCACUCCUGGUCCAUCGCCCUGUGCCUGCAGCUUGGAGACACAUGUUUACCCUUUCCCUUCACCUCCAGUUGUUUCCUAAAAAUGGAAUGCUCAGUUUCCAGGCACGGGUGGGAUCAACCCCAUUGUCUGUCUGUUCCAUUGUCUCAGAAUCUUCCACCAGGAGGGAUGUGGAUUUUCCUGGGGUGUAAACCUAACAUGCCCUUCCCCUUGGCUCUCUGUGCUUUCCCUGCACCGCCUGCUCCCUUCACCUUGGGGUUAUCACGAUUUUCCCUGCCCACGCCCUGGUGUUCAAGAAUAACUCAGCCUCCCUGCCAGACUUCUCUGGAACUUCAUACAGACUUGUUUAACUCGAAAAGGAAACUCUUCCAUCCUUAGCCUAUGUUCUUUUUCCAAAGAGCUGAAGGGCACCGGGUGUGUGGUGAGGGCAAGCGAGGAGGGAGAAGGACCAGAUUCAGAGAGAAGGGGAGGGAAGCUUGCAUUCAGGCUCCCUCUCUCCACCCAGAAGUACGUUUAGAGAACAGCUCCCCGCGUAAACAAGGCAUCAGACACCUUUUUGAAUUUCAUAACAGAAGUACUAUCUGAACACCUAACAGGACAGGAAAAAUGUAUAGACACAAACUAGAAAAAAUUGGUAUCUAUAUUUGAAACAUGUGACUGUGGCAAAAAAAAAAAAAAAAAAAAAAAGUAACAAGCUUAUUUCUAUCGGCCAAAGGAAAGGAUGAGGGACGAAGUCUUUGGUGCAGCAAGGUUUUGUCAGGGCCCACCCCGCGCCGUUUGUGAUUGGGAAACAGGGCAGUUCUAGGGUGGGGGGCUGCUUUAGGGAGCAGAUCCUGGAACUUGUCGGGGGAGAGUUUAUGUCCCUGGGAGAUGUGGGGUCCCAGGUCUGGGCCAGUGCUGGGAAACAGGUGCCUGUGCCCGAGGCCUUUUCAGGUGUGUGCCAGCAUGCCUCUGUGGUCCUCCAGGUGCUUAGGGGAGUAACAGCUGCCUGAGGGGCACCCAUUUGACCUCACAGCUGGAAAGAACUUAAAGGUCAGGUAGGUAGGCACCUGCUUAACAUCCGAGAGCAGAGACAGGCUGUCAGGGACAGGAAGUCGCUGUGAUGAUGGUCUCUCUCCCGCUGGUGUCUGUGCUGGGUGGGACCUGGCAGGUCAGCUGCUCCAAUGAUAUAUAAAAAGUGUCAGUAACAACGGGCAGGGCAUGCUGAGUGCCUUAUAUGCAUCACAUCCCUGCAUCCUCACCAGUCUUGUGACUGUGUUUGGAGGAAGCGGUACACCUCGGUCAAGCUUCCUCAGUAAAAGAGGAAGGCUGCAAAUCCAGUGGCAGGACCCCAAAGCCCAUGCAGUGAAGUGCUGUACUGCCUUCUGGAGGCAAGUCGCUCCCCACCUGAAGCUUUGAGGAUCCAGGGUCUCUCGUUAGGCGAUCAACCCUCUGGCUCAGGCACACGCGGGAAAGGCCAAAGUGAACUGGGCUGGAUUCUGAAACGGCUCCUGCAGCAUUUCAAGACCCUUCCCAUUCUCAUCUCCUUGGCUACGCCCAGCAGCCCCUGGGCAUCUCCCCUUCUCGGGGGCCAAACUGUCUGCUCUUAUUCCUCGGCCUGUGGCUAGCAGGAACCUGGAGGGAGAAAACGUUCCCUUGAGUCUUGGCUGUGGGCAGCAGAACAGCAUGUUCUGAGCUGUGACCAGUCUUCUUCCUCCCUAGAGCCCUUCAUUUCUGCUGGAUGCUGGUUGGCCUUGGGGGGGGGGGGCGCAUAAGCAAAGGGAACAGAGGCCAAAAGUGAUUGGGCAGCUGAGCUUGGAGAGAUGGCUGGAAAAGGACUGAUGGAAACUCUGCUGGGGCUACGGCACACGUCCCUGUACUGGGUCCUGCCGAAUCCAGGGAAAUCCCCUUUGCUCAGAUGUUUCCAGGCCCAAAGAAGAGCCACAGAAUGAGCCUGUACUGGGUGACAGAAAUACUUCUGGAUCAUCAAUGAUGGGGACUUUCUUCACUGGGACCUGGGAGAAUGUCGCAACCAGAGCCGAAAGGCCAAGUCCGUUUUGUUUUAGUUCCAAGGCUUUUGAAAAAUAAGUGAAUGGUUAACAGUUUGAAUGGUUUCACUGGGUAUUUUAAACAAAAGCCUUUUAAUUAGGUUUAAUAAGUAUUCUAUAACUUUAGGUUAAAGGCAAAGAAAGAUGACUCUGGGUCUUUCUCCUAGGGCUCAUUCAAGGCGAGAGCAGUAGGGGGCGCCCACACCUCAUACUUCCUAAGUGUCCAGGGGAAGCUUUGGGUAUCUCCACAGCCCCCUCCACCCAGGUGAUGGUGAGUCUUGGCAAAGUACAGACGUGGAACACAGUGUUCCCAAAUGUGGCAGUGCCAUGUCUGGACCCCUUGUGAAGGUGGCUUUCCAGGGGUUGUGCUGCCUUUUCUCUUCCUGUCCCCUUGCCCUAAGGGGUGGAUCCAUGGCAGUGGCAUGCCAUGAGCAAACUCGCUGUCCCCUGGUGAGGCUGGCAGGCACUCUGAGGUCCCACUGCACUUCCUGAGCUCCGGGCAUGGAGCAGGCCUGCUCACAUGACCUGGAAGUGGGUUAUGGGUUGGCCUUACGCAGGCAUCCUUGGCAGAUUCCCGGGCUGGUUUAUGGGAGGCUGCAGGACUUUGGGAUGGUGGUCACUGCUGUGGGAACUGAGCACCCAGAGGGAAGCUCCUCAGGUCGCCUUUUCCAGAGUGGAUUUCAUCCCAUUUAAUAUACCUGUCCUCAAGGUCAAUGUUUCCAAGGUCAAUGUCUACUCGUUCAGGCUUUCUUCACUGAUGCCAUUUUCUAGCUUUUCGGUCAUGGUCACAUCAAGUAGUAGGGAAGCUGAUGAGUUCAGUUCUCCAGGAAGAGCUCAUAAUUAGGUAUUUCUUCAUCACUGACAGGGAAAGUGACAGGCAGGAAGUGUGCUGAGGUUUGUUUUUUAAUUAACUGUGAUCUGAUUGAUAGACUGCCAUUAUUACAGAUGUGUAUCAUCUCUCCUCACUGAUUCCUUCUGAGGACACUUACUUCUCACCGCCUGCAGGCCUGGUCCUGGCUCUGGCGGCACAAUAAUGCCCCCACAGGAACUCAGGGGGAGAGCGAGGCCCCUGCUCAGCGACACACUCUCCUGUCCCUGAGGGAAAGAACCUUAAAAAGCCAGGGGGCUGAACUGAAUGUCCUGUGAAAACCUCACCAAUGCCCAGCUAUGAAAGGAUGAGUCUGGGGCUCUGGGAAGAUCUUAAGCCUAUUCCUUACCACAUAUUCCUGUCACCCCAUAUUAACAUCAUCUUGGCCUGAGUCUGAAUUAUAUUCAGCCUUGACCUCCCCACAUGCUUCUCAUUCUCCUUGGGAUUAAUGAACGCCUUCCACUUUGUACUUACUCACGGCACUGCAUUAUAGGUAACUUCUGGGAAUCAAGGACCAAACUUUUACGUCUACACUGAAAACAUUAUACUUACUUAACACACUCCUAGAUGCCCUCUGGGAAGGACCUGUGGGGAGAGUCAGGGGGAAGGCCCACCUCCCGAGGUUUAGGAACCAGGUGCUGAGUGUGUUGGCUGGGCCCGGAGGAGGCAUCUGGUUCUCAUCGGAGAAGGGGAGUUGCUGGGCAAACUGAACUGCUGGAUUUUUCCUUUACUUCUGGCUCUGCUAACCCCUCCACCCCCCCUCCCCCCACAACCUACACUUUAUGGUGGGAGAAGAACCGGAAAACCCACUGACGCAGAUAAAAAGCUGGGGUAAACCAGUGACUGUGAGUGAGUCUGGGGAGGUAGGGAUUCAGGAAAUGAGGAAAAACCUUCCACACCUGGUGCCUGUAAACAGAGGUGAACAAGGGGCUAGAACUGUUUGGCUCUGGAAUGGUGGCUGAUACAAGUGAGGGUGUCGGCUCCAGGAGGAACAUGAAAGGGCUUCUGGUCCCAUGUGUUUCAGGGACACAGGCUCAGGGCCCCAGAAAGGGAAGUCUGGUAGCAGCCCUGGGGAGGGGGCCCUGGGUGGGCAGUUAGCAAGCUGCCCCAGACGGAUCCCACGUGAAGCAGAGGCCCUCCUUUCUUCACUUGUCCCUUUUCACGUGUGUCUGUUCUGCAGCACUUAAAACGUGCAAGGCUAGGUUACCUUCCCCAAAGCUAAUCUGUGCCAGGGUCUUUCUCCCAAGACCACACGGAAGGCCCUGCCAUGUCCGACAGUGGAUCUCAAUUCCAAAAGGUAUCACACAACCUGCCAGGGAGGCCAGGGGUACUGUGAACCCCAGCUCUACAGAGAAAUUCUUCACACAUGCACCUGGCACAUACUGGGCAGGACUGAAAGAAGCUGUGUUUAGUUUUUCCAUCACGUUUUCUCCAUUUAAAUCUCAUUCUUUCCCUAGGCCUUCCUUGCGGUACCUCUCUAAAAGGCACUUCCCCAACUUUCCAGGGCAGUUAUGCGUAUCCUCUCAGGAAGUUCUGGGGUGGGGGGAAGAGCAGUUGUCUAAUAAAAGCCACUCAUGUUUCCUGGGUGAAUACAGAUUACAUGCUGACAGCAAACAGCUCAGCUCUGGGUUCAGUGUAUGUCUGCAUGUAGUCAGGGCCUCUAUAGAAGGUGUCUGGGUAUCUGACGGAUGCAGAGAUCAUUUUCUUUGCUUUUUAGGGCCACACCCAUGGCAUAUGGAGGUUUCCAGGUUAGGGGUCUAAUAGGAGCUAUAUCUGCCAGCCUACACCACAGCCAUAGCAACACCAGUUCUGAGCUGUGUCUGCGACCCACACCAGAGCUCACGGCAACACCAGAUCCUUAACCCACUGAGCAAGGCCAGGGAUUGAAAUGUAACCUCAUGGUUCCUAGUUGGAUUUGUUUCCGCUGCUGUGCCAUGACAGGAACUCCUCUGCAGAGGUCUUUUAAAUGGCAUCUUAAACUUAGGAGCCACAAAUUUGGAUACAAAGAAGCAGCUCAGCUAUGUUAAAAACUUAAACCUUCAACUGCUGCUAGAACUUGGCCUUUAGCUUGGUUGCUACCCCAGAGCAACCUGCUCCUUGGCUUGUGCUGGGGAAACACACUUCCUGAGUUUGUUCAGGACAGGACACUACACGUGGAAACAAACUUCCUCCAUCCUCCACGAUCAGUUUCUAUUUCUUUUUUUUUUUUUUUUUUGGUCUUUUUUUUUUGCUAUUUCUUGGGCCGCUCCCGCGGCAUAUGGAGAUUCCCAGGCUAGGGGUCCAAUCGGAACUGUAGC
rnacentral:lncRNA from 1 species